AUUGAACGCUGGCGGCAGGCCUAACACAUGCAAGUCGAACGAGUGGCAGACGGGUGAGUAAUGUAUGGGAAACUGCCUGCUGGAGGGGGAUAACUACUGGAAACGGUAGCUAAUACCGCAUACCAUCAUAUGUUCCCAGAUGGGAUUAGCUAGUUGGUGGGGUAACGGCUCACCAAGGCGACGAUCCCUAGCUGGUCUGAGAGGAGGACCAGCAACACGGGAACUGAGAAAAGGUCCAGACUCCUACGGGAGGCAGCAGUGGGGAAUAUUGCACAAUGGGCGCAAGCCUGAUGCAGCCAUGCCGCGGGUAUGAAGAAGGCCUUCGGGUUGUAAAGUACUUUCAGCGGGGAGGCGUUACCCGAAGAAGAAGCACCGGCUAACUCCGGGCCAGCAGCCGCGGUAAUUC
rnacentral:rRNA from 1 species